rnacentral:sRNA from 1 species
CCGAAGUAGCGAUUGCAGCGGCAUCCUUUUGAAAAAAGAUACAGCGUAAAGCGCAGGUCACG